UCGUACACUGGGGGAUAACACUUAGAAAUAGGUGCUAAUACCGCAUAAGCGCACAGAGCCGCAUGGCUCAGUGUGAAAAACUCCGGUGGUGUAAGAUGGAUCCGCGUCUGAUUAGCUGGUUGGCGGGGUAGAAGCCCACCAAGGCGACGAUCAGUAGCCGGCCUGAGAGGGUGAACGCCACAUUGGGACUGAGACACGGCCCAAACUCCUACGGAAGGCAGCAG
rnacentral:rRNA from 1 species